CAUUUACCAUAUGCACAGAGAGUCGACUCCACCGGCUGCUCCAGCAGGCAAAUAAGAAUAUGCCAGCUCCGGCUCCGGCUGCGGCUCCGUCUCCGGUUUCAGCUCCAACUGGUCUUCUUUGUUGAGGUACGAGGGCUUGGCAAAAUACAAAGAAAAAAUAUAUUUUUGCAAACAAGCCAGGCAACUGGAUAGCUCGCCGACUCUGGCCAAAAUGAGAAACGCCGAAUUGAAAUACUUGCAAUAAACAUGAAAAAGGCAAGCAAACAACAACAACAACAAUAAUAAUAACAAUUCUGAGCUGGGCUAGGAAGCUUUGGAUGCUGUUGCUCCUUUGGCAGUUGCGUUUAUUGCAUUGACAGGCCAGUUGCCAGUUGCCUCCGGGUGGCACCCAGGAGCAAAACCGGAGCUGGAGCUGGAGCUGGAGCUGGAGCUCAACAAAAGGCGGCAGCAAGCGAACUGAGCUGGACUACAAGUUGAAAGAUGUUUUGUUCACGGCGGCAAACCAAAGGAAGCUGCAAUGGAUAGCACGGAAUGGGUCAAAAUCAUUUGUGCAAAGUUGGCUUGAACUAUACUAAGGGGACUGCAUAAAUGCAGAAUUUAUGAAGGUAGUUCGUAGAAGAACGGGACAAAAUCUUGAAUUAAUUGAGACAAGUUGUAGCUAGCAAAGAAGGUUGUAGCUUAAUUGUUUAGUAAAUAAUGAAAUAGAGCACAAUGUUCAAAAAAAAAAGAGCAAGCAGACAAGACAAGCUGUUAUUAUAAUGGAAUACCAAUUUUUAGCCAA